GGGAAGAGGGAAGCCUAAGAUGACAUGGAGGGAAAUAGUAGCAAAGGAUCUGUUAGUCAUGGAUAUCGAUGUGGACCUGAUAUCUAACAGAACUGAAUCAUGAAAAAGGACCAUAUAGCCGAUCCAAUUAGUUUGGGAUUAAGAAUUAGUUGUUGCUGUUGUUGUUUGAAUGGCACUUCUAGUCACCAAAAAAGCGUAAAAAAUUUUUAUUACAAAUAUCUCUAUUCAAACACUCGAUUAAAAUAAUAAAGUUUAGGCUCUCAAAUAGAAAAUCUCAAAAAUUAAUUACUCAAAAUGCCCUUAUUCCAUCCAACAAUAAAUAAGAAUAACUUUGUUUGUCAAACCUUUUCCAUUUUUAGUCAAAACCCAAAAUAGCAUGUACACACACACACACAAACACACAAAGAUUAUUAGAAGAGGGGAGAGAGAGAGAAAUGGAAACACAAAAUUUUACAUGGUUAGACAACCGUGCCAAGUAUUCUAAACUAACCAGUUAGAUAAGAGAUACCUUCAAAGAUGGGACUAGCGCAAAAACUUCAUCAACACUUUCAGGGCAAACAUUAGCAAUCACACAUAUCUCUCCAUCAGAGACACCAUGCUUUUUGACGCUUUCAACAACCCGUCUGACAGAUUGGGGAUUUGUAUAAUGACCACCAGUCUUUGCAUAAUGCAGGGCCCCGUCAAAUGAAACAGGAAGUUUGAUUGUGGGAUCGCGAGACAGUAAAACCAUCUGCUCCUGGAUUCCUAGUAAGAUUUGCGCAGCCUCACAGUCCAUCAGACAUUGGGCAUUCUUAGGAAGUUCCUUCUCAACUUUCAGUUCAAGUGAUUGAGAUUUAGCCGAAGGAGCCUUCUCACCAUUCGAAAUCUUGUCUCCUUUACCACCCUUGCUCAAAAUACCUUUAGCAGCUGUGGAAUAAAACUUCCCAUCAGAUUUUGGUAAAAAAUCAAACUUGCCAUCUUCAGAAUUGAACUGAACUUUCCUUCCUCUCUUUGACUUUGCAGAGCUGUCAUCCUUCCCUUUCAUUGAUGCAUCCUUAGCAGGUGUGGACUUGAGAGAAGAUUUAAGCCCUUUACUGGGAAUUGAGUACCCUUUUCCUCCCUUCUCCAUUUUCACCCGAUAAUACUAGUGCUUCUGCAACUCAAAUACAAAGAUUCAAGCAAUCGAUACGACAAUGUACAUAAUCAACCAUCAGAUGACAAACCCUAUUGGGCACAGAGAAAAUACACUGCAGUGAACUAAAGGGAAUUUCAUAGAGAGAAGAAGAAGAAGAAGGAAGAGGAGGAAGAG
rnacentral:misc_RNA from 1 species